CAUAUAAACCGCCAUUACCAAAACUGCAAUUGAAGAUUCUCUAUACUCCCUGGAAAUGCACAAGAAAAUGAUGGCGGCGGCCGGAGGAGGAGACCGGCUGACUGAUCUGCCGGAGGAGAUUCUACUCUACAUCCUCUCUAUGUUACCAAACAGUAGACAAGUUGUUCGAACCAGCGUAUUAUCAUCGCAAUGGCAAUUUCUUUGGAAAUCCGUUUCAGCAUCACUCGAUUUCAACUCAGAAGAUUAUUGUAAACCUUACAAAAAAAUAUAUAUUCUCGAUUACGCAGCUUCUGUUAAUAGAGAGCUUCAUUAUUGGAGGUCUUGCGAGAAAAUCAAAUCAUUUAGGGUUUUUCCUUAUAGCUACCAGGAUUUUAUUGCUCAUGAUGUUGAUUUGUGGGUGCACUUUGCUGUUAAUAUUGGUAAGGUUGAAGAGUUUACGUUGAAAUUUUGUUAUUUUGAUUCUCUAGAUUUUGCGUAUAAAUUUCCUGAAUUCGCGUAUACGAAUACGGUUUUGAGGAAUUUGGUGUUAGGAUUUUGCCGGUUGAGACCUUCUGGUAAUGUGAAAUGGAGUAAUUUGGUUUCUCUUUCGAUUGGGGAUGCGGGCAUGACAGAGGGUGUAAUGGAAAAAAUAUUAUCAGGUUGUCCUAAUUUGGAGUGCUUGGAAUUAGAUAAAGUUGUUGGUAUUCGUCGUCUGGAAAUCAGCUCUGUGAAGCUGAGAAAAUUGAUUGUAACGAUUUAUGAAACAGAAUCUGCUGAUGAUGAUCAAGACUAUUGCGUCGAAAUUCAUGCCCCACAUAUUCGACAUUUAGAACUUUCGGGAUUGUGUUACGAUAAGAUACACUUUCAGCUGAGAAAUGUGGCUUCACUUGUCACUGCAGUCCUUUCUUUAAAUGUUUAUUUUUUCGACCUUGAAGAGAAUUUGGAGAAGGAGUGUAGAUAUUUGCAGGAACUUCUUCACCACGUUGCCAAUGUCAAGAAUCUUGAAUUGGGUCCCUGGUGCAUCGAGUGCCUGUCCAUACUGGAGUUUAAAGGGUGGCAUGUUCCACCAUCAAGCUGGAAAUUCUUAAAACUUAACGCAGCCUUAGAACAGUACGACUAUCCUGGAAUUUGCAGCUUUCUAUCGAGUUCAUCAGGUCUUGAGACAUUGGUCAUUGACUGGUGCCAUCCUAAACCAAGAGAAUUACUGUCAAUGUACACAAAUGAGGAUGAACGACGGAGGAGAUUUGAAACACAUAGUUUUAACUGUUCAUUGCCCCAUCUAAAGUUCUUCAAGUUCAUUAACUUUUAUGGAAAACCAAGUGAAAAAAAGUUUGUACACCCAUUGAUCAAAUGUUUGUGCAAGAAUGCGACAGCACUAAAGAAGUCUGUCAUUGCUUGCAACUUCAGAAGGAGAGAUGUGUUUUGGAAUUAUGUCGUCAGGAGGUCCUAAGCUUUCCAAGAUCCUGUCCGCAAGCUUCAGUUGUCUUUCCUUGUUGAUAAUCUUACGCCAUUCUCUUUUGUUGUGAUCGCAACAUACGUAACAACCUUUUACUUUUGGUUUGAAGCUGGUUUAUAGUUGAUAGACGAGAUUUGGAUUCUAGUUAUCAGUAUCCAAUACAAAAUAGCUGUUUGUAGUUUUUUAAUGUCUAAGCACAAUGCAUUUUUUCUUUGAUAAUCAUGUAAGAAAGCUUGAUCUAAGGUUGAAUGUCAUUUUGCAGAAAUUGUAUUUCUUGAUUCAUUACGACUCAAUGGGCUUGCUUCUUUCGACAUGUGUUAUUUUUUUGAGCAAAAUUGAGAACCUGCCACUUGAAGAAAAUCAUGCAUUGGCAAGAUGUUAUAGAAUUAAGACAUGGGCUAACUGUUGAUUACUAUAUUGUGAUACUGAUAUGAGAUGGUUUACUAGAAAAAGUGUGCAUAUGUCUAUGUUACAUUGAGCUAAGGUUCUUGUAAAGAUGGAACUCCCUACAUCAGCUGUUCCUUCAACAGAUCAUUCUUAUCUUUUAUUUCAGCUUGCAAAUGUGCAAUGUCUUUGUGAUGGUUUAUCUGCUAUCGUUGCCCAUACCUCAUGGUCAGCCCCAUGGACAGAGGGAUGAACCUCACAAUUAUACCACUGUUCCAAAUUAUUCAGAGUAAAAUCAUUGGUUCAGAAGCUACUUUUACUUGGACUUGAAAGCUCUGGAACAAGCAUCAUCAGGUACCAGCUAAUUAGAGUAAAGGCCAACGGAAUGGAUGAAGGAUGCUACUGAAUGGAGAUGUUUGAAGAUGUUGGCGUUGCGGUAUUUUGUAUGGCCCUGAUGCAUGUCAAAGAACAAUCUGAAAAAAUGGCCAGACAUCCCUGUUUCAAAGAGACCUCAUCAUUUGUUUUAAUCUCGAACAAGAAUGAUCUUUUCGAGCAGAAGAUCAUUUGUGUACCACUGGGCUCUUGCAAGUGGUUCAGCGAUUUCAGUCCAGUGCAGACUCACCAUAGUAACCAGUCACUAGCAAAACAAAACAUAUUACUAUGUCACCAUGUAGUUUAAAGACCUCUAUGUUUGUGGCAAGAGACUGUACAACUGAUGUUUAGCUCUUCUCUAUUUAUCUAUUAAAAUAUUAAGUGUAUAUCUUAGU